UACGGGGGGGCAAGCGUUGUUCGGAAUUACUGGGCGUAAAGGGCUCGUAGGCGGCCAACUAAGUCAGACGUGAAAUCCCUCGGCUUAACCGGGGAACUGCGUCUGAUACUGGAUGGCUUGAGGUUGGGAGAGGGAUGCGGAAUUCCAGGUGUAGCGGUGAAAUGCGUAGAUAUCUGGAGGAACACCGGUGGCGAAGGCGGCAUCCUGGACCAAUUCUGACGCUGAGGAGCGAAAGCCAGGGAGCAAACGGGG
rnacentral:rRNA from 1 species